rnacentral:rRNA from 1 species
GACGAACGCUGGCGGCGUGCCUAAUACAUGCAAGUUGAGCGAUGAAGAUUGGUGCUUGCACCAAUUUGAAGAGCAGCGAACGGGUGAGUAACGCGUGGGGAAUCUGCCUUUGAGCGGGGGACAACAUUUGGAAACGAAUGCUAAUACCGCAUAACAACUUUAAACAUAAGUUUUAAGUUUGAAAGAUGCAAUUGCAUCACUCAAAGAUGAUCCCGCGUUGUAUUAGCUAGUUGGUGAGGUAAAGGCUCACCAAGGCGAUGAUACAUAGCCGACCUGAGAGGGUGAUCGGCCACAUUGGGACUGAGACACGGCCCAAACUCCUACGGGAGGCAGCAGUAGGGAAUCUUCGGCAAUGGACGAAAGUCUGACCGAGCAACGCCGCGUGAGUGAAGAAGGUUUUCGGACCGUAAAACUCUGUUGGUAGAGAAGAACGUUGGUGAGAGUGGAAAGCUCAUCAAGUGACGGUAACUACCCAGAAAGGGACGGCUAACUACGUG